AAAAUGACUUUCUCUCUCUUACUUUACUCUUUCUCAAUCACCCACACGAUUUCAUCCUUCCAAUUUCUUCUUCACUCCUCAUUCUCAUCUAACAAUCUUGCCUUUCUUCUCUGAACAGUCGCUGCCACCACCACCACCAUCGUCCCUCGUGCCCAGCCCGUGCCCGCCACCACCGUCGUCACUCCUCACGUUCUUCAAACACUGUUAUGCUUGCCACCACUGUCGGGAGUCCUUUUCUUCAACCAUGUUCAUGUCCAGCCCUCGCUACCACCGUCGCCGUCUGCGUUUAUAUCACAAGCUCCGAUCUGGUUGGCUUGUGGCCAGAUCUGUUGAAAAUCAGUAGCAUUUUUCAAAACUAAAUAUUAUUGUUUGCUUUUAGUCAUCUUACUUCUAAUAAUAAGAUAUUUCAGAGUACCGGAACAUUUUUCGCAGCAUCAAGAUAUGGCAGUGCGACUCCAGUGCCUGCAUCCAUCAUCAGCCGGGGUAGUGGUUGGCUGGGUUUUUGAAGGGUAGCUGAAAACCAAGAAAAUAGCCAGAAAAAUCACCGGAAGCUUGCUGAAAGUACAAGAGAUUUCAAGAAGGCUCAACCAGAGGAAAAAUUGAACUUGUUUAGUUCUCUACUUAAAAGUUACCAAGAAGAAGUUGACAAUCUCACGAAGAGGGCAAAGUUUGGAGAAAAUGCUUUUCUUAACAUUUAUCAAAAACUUUAUGAGGCUCCAGAUCCUUACCCUGCUCUUGCUUCAAUUGGUGAACAAGAUUUGAAGUUGUCUGAAUUAAUUAGAAUCUGAGAAUAGGAAAAUGAAAGUUGAGCUUGAAGAGUUUAGAAUAGAAGCAACUCAUUUAAAAAAUCAGCAGGCCACUAUUAGAAGACUUGAAGAGCGCAAUCGGCAAUUGGAGCAACAGAUGGAGGAGAAAAUAAAGGAAAUUGUGGAAAUCAAGCAACGCAGUUUGGCUGAAGAAAACCAGAAGGCAUUAGAUGCAAUAAAAGAAAGGCUGUAGGUUAUAACUCAAUUGAGGCUGAAGAUUGGGAAGUUGCCACCAGUGGGGAAGGAUGAGCAAAAUGGAGUCUCUUCUUCUUGAUAAGAACCGAAAAAUGGAACAUGAACUUACACAGUUUAAGAUAAUUGAAGUCAUAUCGGGUUGAAAGCUAAGCGAUUGUGCAGAGAUGGCCAAGCGACCAUUGAAAAUUGAAGAUUGAGAAGGCAUUUUAGGAUUUUUAAUUAUUUAAUUCUUGUAUUAGAAUCUUUUUUCAUGUACUAUCAUAGAAUAUAUAAACAUAAUAUUAAGAUUUUAUUUUGUGUAUGUACAAGACAAAUAUUAUAGUUUCUAACAUAAUAUGAAUUUCAUUGAUUUGUUGGCAUGUGAAAAA